AUUUUUCAAGGGUAAAUUUGUUGAAGUAUGAAAUUUCGAUGUUGGAUUGCAAUACAAGAUUUUCGCUAUGAUAAGUAAAGGUGAAGAUUGUGUUGACGCAGAUGGGUUUUGACGAUGCUUUGCUGAGUUUUAAGAGGAUGCUAGCAAAUUUGUCUAUGGAGAAGAAACAACGGAGGGAUUGAAAGGCUCUAACACAGGCUCAUCUUCACUUAUCCAACAAUAUUCUGCAGGAUGUCUUGAAGGAGAAGGCAGCUACUGCUUUGUGGCUUAGUUGUGCAUGACAAAGAGUCUAACAAGCAAACUGACUCUAAAGCAGAAACUGUAUUCCCAUCACAUGGCGGAAGGAGGGUCACUACAGGUUCAUCUUGCUGUGUUCAAGGAGAUUGUUGCAGAUUUGGAAACGUUGGAGGUAAAAUAUGAUGAAGAGGAUUUGGCCUUAAUCCACUUAUGUUCGCUACCCAGUUCUUUUUCGUCAUUUCAUGAUACUAUAUUGUAUUGUCAUGACACGCUGACCAUUGAGGAGGUAUAUGACGCCCUGUUCUCAGAGGAGAAGAUGGAGCUAUUGGUUGGAGAUCCUACAUCUAGGGAUAGGGGUGCUCUGAUUACUCAUGGUGAUCAACAGAGGGGAAGAUCGAAGGUGAGAUACAACAAUAUGUAUUGUUAUUACUGCAAGAGGAAAGGACAUAUUAAGAAAGAUUGUGACAAGUUGCAGGGUAAAGUUGAUUUACUUGCAAAUCAUGCGGGGCAAUCAGGUAACGAGAUUAACAUUAUUGAGAAUUUUUUGGAUGAUGGAGAUGUAAUGUUCGCUGUAUCUGAUAGGAAAUCCAAACCUGGGGAGUGGAUUCUGAAUUCUGUAUGUUCGUAUCAUAUGUGUCCCAAUAGGACUUUGUUUUGACAUAUGAGACGGUGAAGUAAAAUGGGGUUGUCAUGGAAAUCAACCAAUCUUGUCGGGUUGUAGGAAUUGGUCGAAUCAAAUUGAGGCUACAAGAUGAGACAGUGAGGAUACUUGAUUAUGUUCGCCAUGUUCCAGACUUGACAAAGAAUCUCAUAUCGUGAGUACCCUGGAUGCAAAAUAGUAUAAAUUCUCUGAUGGAAGUAGAGUCUUGUAGGUCCGGAGGGGUGUCCAGAUUCUACUGGAGGGACGGAAGAAGUCGCAAUUGUACAUCUUGCAGGGGAACGCAAAACCAGUUAAGAAACAUCUGGACAAGUUCAAUACCGUGGUGGAUAUUCAGUUUGGUAUGGGUCGGUUCAGAACAUUGCUCAGGGGAGUGUUAGUGAUUCCGCUUUGCCAUUAAUUUCAGCGGUUGUGUGUUCAAAUAUCAGGGGUGGACUCAUGGAGCGUAGGUACAGUGGUAUUAUUGAUGUCCGUAAUGCUUUAGGGAUCGUUGAAGGUGACAGUUCUGACAAGGGACCUUCUGAUCAAGCACUUGGUAUGGUUUCUGUCACGGGGUGUGCUUCGACUCUAUUUGGUCAACAGUAAUUUCUUGGUAGAAUUUUGGGAACUCGGGAUUUGAGUUCAGAUGUCGCUUGUAAAUGCCUUGCAGAGGAAGAUAGUUUUGGUGAUGGAAAGUUUUGGUUAUUAUGUUGAAGAGUUUAGUUAUUUCGUUGCGCUGAAAUUUGGGUCAAGGUAGAGAUUGUCAGGUUGGAUGCCCCAAAUUAGAGAUGAGAAUCUUGGAGAUAGCGUGAUUGACUUGAUCUUGAAAAGAAAUCAAGGAGUAUCCAAGCAAGGAAACAAGAAAAAGAAAAAGGAAGGUGCCAUGAUUGUCUUCACGUGUGUGGGCGGAUUUUUCUUGUUUGCGUAUUUAACCUAAUUUUCUUACUUUUCUUGGACUCUUUCAGGGCUUGACUCAUGUAGUAUAAAUAUAUGUCUACUCUUUCAGUUUAGUUGAAGCUUUUUUGCUGUUCAGUUGUAAUCUCUCCAUAUUGUCGGGUUUAAUAAAAUUCAU
rnacentral:lncRNA from 1 species